AUUCCGAAAGGAAUGCUAAUACCGCAUACGCCCUACGGGGCGCAUAUAGCAGGGGAUCUUCGGACCUUGCGCUAAUAGAUGAGCCUAAGUCGGAUUAGCUAGUUGGUGGGGUAAAGGCCUACCAAGGCGACGAUCUGUAGCGGGUCUGAGAGGAUGAUCCGCCACACUGGGACUGAGACACGGCCCAGACUCCUACGGGAGGCAGCAGUGGGGAAUAUUGGACAAUGGGCGGAAGCCUGAUCCAGCCAUGCCGCGUGUGUGAAGAAGGCCUUUUGGUUGUAAAGCACUUUAAGCGAGGAGGAGGCUCUUAAGGUUAAUACCCUUGAUGAGUGGACGUUACUCGCAGAAUAAGCACCGGCUAACUCUGUGCCAGCAGCCGCGGUAAUACAGAGGGUGCGAGCGUUAAUCGGAUUUACUGGGCGUAAAGCGUGCGUAGGCGGCUGAUUAAGUCG
rnacentral:rRNA from 1 species